rnacentral:sRNA from 1 species
GGAAGGCUUUUUAAUUUAUUUAUUCUGCUGGGACUGAGGUGGGGGGCUCGGCUGGCGGGGGAGAGGGGGGUCUCCACGGCUUCUACCUCCCCCGCGGCUGGGGCUACCCUUCGAGCUACGGAACACUCCACGGUGUGCGCCCCCAGGGCCUCCCAAACUGUUUCUAAACUGCCCAGACCGGAGGUGGACGCGUGGAGGCUCGGCGAAAGGGCUGGGUUUCGAGUGGGGUGAUUGUGUGUGUUCGACUACUAGGAGCCUGGGGAGGGAGGCAGACGUCGACCCCAAACGAGUUGCAAUCGAGGUCCGGGAGUGGCGGCGGCCAAUCAGCGCUCGGCUUCCAUUUUAGCAGUAAACAGUCCUCAGCGAAGCCGCCUUUUUGCCAGCCCAACCCUGGAAAGUUUGCAGUCGUGGAAGGAGCAGAAAUACCAUGAGUGUAACUUACAAAAAGGUAACAACAAAAGGACACCAUAACCCCAGAUUUUUACCUCAACUAAACAACCAAACAAUACCCCCUCAAAAAAAAAAAAAAAAACCUUAUUUUUAUAAUAACAUCUCCAAAAACACCGCCCAGCUUUUUCUUCUAGACUCCAUGGCACCGGGCUGAGCCGGUCUUGGCCGGAGACCGGAGCAAUGUCUGUGUUGUCCCCACAGUAGACACUCCUUGCUUCCUCUGGACAACUGGAGCAGGCCUAGUUUGACUGACAAGCCUUCCCACUAAGGUAGGUAAGAGCCCUUUCCCGAGUUGAGAGAACUGACUCUGGGAGCUUUGACCUGCGGCCUUCGAAGCGCUGGUUGUGAUCCCCAAACCCGCUGGGCUGGUUCUGCAGCCCCUCCCCCACGCUGAUGUGGCUGAUGUGGCGGUUGUGUGUGUGAAAUGGGCGGCCUGCUGGGUCCAUCCAGCCCCGCCUGUCAGCUUCUGCUGUCGGGCGUUUAGGGCGGGCGAUUCUCUUGCCGAAUUUAGCAGCUUACUAGAGCAGGACUACGAAGUAUUUCCCAGUGGUGUGUUUUAUGGUGGGUGGGAGGGCCCUGGAAGCUUCUGAAGACAGAGACUGCUGUCAGACUUGCCAAUGGUGCUUCAGACAGUCUUCCUGAACCCCAUUGGGGUGACCAAAUGAGCCACCUUCUGAUGUCUGGCUUGCUGGAUAGACAAAGAACCAAAGACCUGAAGUGUUAUCCAGCUUCCCGGGGGGAAAAGAUUUCCUUGGCUUCUCCUUUUCCCGGAUCCUCCUGUCAACAAGGCCAGGUGUUGCUAGCUUGGUGUCUAGAAUGUGUCAAAGCUGGACAGGAAAGUAGGCUGGCCCUUAACCUGUCCGUAAUGACCUUACAUAUUCUGAGCAGAGUCUGCCCAACUGCACCGGCAUCAGAAGUCAGUGGUGGAACCCAUUGACCCUGACCGUGCCUGUCUCUCGGGUUUCUUCUCUUUUUAGACAGUACAUCUAAGAAUUUGCACUUCUUACAAGGCCCCAGGUACUGUCAGGUUUCUAGAUUCCUAGUAAGUGACACCUGGGAUGUUGCCCGGCUUGGUGGCUAGCAGUUGGCUUGCCCUCCUCCCAGGCAGGAAGCUUCGCGGCUGAAAUCCGUGUGGCCCUUGAUCUCUGACCCUUGCCCCCCUAGUGUGUUUCUCGUUACGUUACUUUGAUAAGCCAUUUGGCCGCAGGUGUCGCGGAUCCUGCUGGCUUCCCCGGUUAGGGCCUCAGCAUCCAGCCUCUUGUCUUCCCUUUACCCCUCACCCCUACAGUGAGUACUGACGUGUGGGUUAGGGAGCCUGGAAGGCUUCCGAACUGCGUUGUUGUCGGAGGUGUCUUGGUGCCUUGAAUCAGGGAUGCUUCAAGCCUGGCAACUGUAGGCUAGAUGUGGCCCAAGCUAGUGACCUUGGACCAGUGUCUCUCUCCCUCCCCACCCCCGUGGAGGAAAAAAAAAAAAAAAGCCCACAAUACCUGCUGGAAAAGGUUGGUGGGAGGAUUAAGUGAGAUUAAGGGGGCCAGACGCCUGCUCUGACCUCACAACCAGUUGGCCUCCAUUGUGAUAAGUACUGUUGCUGGGAGUGGCUGCUGGCUGCGCGGGUGGGGGCUGGGCUGUAUCCCCGGCUCCUCCCCGCCAGCCCACUUCCUGAAGCACGUGCUGGAGCCUCCAGGCAAAGGAGAAAGAAAACUGGCUCUGCUUGGGAAGGCAGCCAGCCCUGUUUUUCUUCCAGUGUUUGAGUCCAGCCUGUUCCCGGGCUCGAUGAGCUGUUCUUUGGUUGGGUCAUGAUUUUAAGGGCCACCCACCAAUGGCCCCAAGAGAAGAAAUGUCUCACCCAAGGUUAUGAGGCCACGACAGACAGAACGUGGACAGGGUUCCAGGUGUCUUGAUUUUCAGCCCAGAGCCUGGGCCCAUGACACCCCCUUGCCCAGCUGUCUGGGUUAUUUUAGGCUCCCUCCCGUGCCAGCUGUCUGCUUUUAUCACUGCCAGAGAGCUGUCUGGUAACAAGGAACCACAAUGGUCCUGUGGCUCCUGCCGGUACAGAGGGCCAGGCAUGAAGUCUGCGGAUGAGCCGGCUUUAUGCUGGGAAGGCGAACUCCUCACCCCAAUUGGGGGGGAGGGGAGAAAAGCGCUUUCCUAAGUUGAUUUCGUUCGUACUACAGAUACCCUAGAAGCCUUCUAAUACACUUGAUCUACCCACGGGCUCUGGUUAGAGUCCUUGGGUCUGGGGUCUUUAUCUCCUCCCGCCGCAAACUAAUUGAUUUAAGUCGCGAUGUAGCAGCUGUACCCCUGAGGGCUACAGGCUUUAGGGAUCAAUUAGGCGCUAAACUGGGAUGUGUUUGAAAGGGGAAGAUGGAAGUGAUCGGGCCAACUUGUGACUGUCGCUACUUGACGCUUUUUCACCUCCCUUUCUCCUUUUUUGGCACCCUUAUCACCCCCUGGGCAGUAGGGUGGGGCAGUUUGUCCUGCUGUUGUUCCUGGCCCCGAGAGGUGCCACGCCUACUGGUCACCCACUGAGCUUGGGGCGGGGCUGCUUUGGCCUGCGGAGAGAGGGCCACGCCAGCGGAAGGCUUGCCUGAACCGGGAGGUGCCUGGACUAGCUUUACUACACAGAUUCCAGUGUCCCCGCCCCUUCCGGCUCCUCCACCUGGCCUGGAGCCCAAGUUUGGAAUAUGACCUUUUAGACUCUCUGAGCAACCGAGAUGGGUCGAAAAACCCGCCAUCACCGCUCUCCGGCCCCCCGUGUUUUCUCCGAUUGUUCCGUGCCCUCAGGCGAGUUCUUGCCGUAGGGAACCAGGAGGGGAACGUUAAACAAAAACUUCUUGAGCUAUUUCUAAAAUUUUCGUGUGAUGGAGGAGGGUCUUGCCGUGCCCGGACUAGCCCUAGUGACAGCUUAGAACCGUAGGUACACUCCUCUGCACCAGCGUUAGCUGAUUUUCAGCCUGGCUUCCAGACGUGACUUGCCCAUCCUCCGCUCAGUCCUUAGAGCUGCUGCUAGGCAGCUGAGACCUGGAGGGAGACUGCCGAGUUAGGUAGAUAAGAUAGCCUGCACCCUAGGCAGCCCGGCUUCACCCCUCUACUUUAUCUCUAGGCUCUAGCUGGAGUCUAUCUCCACCUCGUAUCUGUACCAUCUGCAUUUGGAUAGCUCAAUAAUUGAUUUAUGGAGCCUCUGAGAAAGGGGAGUGGAGGCUUCAGCCUCCCCCACCCCAAUUUGUACUUUGUCCUGAACGACGGCCGUUAGUGUGCCUCUGCUCCCCUGGAUCUGUGGUUUAGUCUUCCCAGUGACCACCUGGCAGCUCCCUGAGGGGUUUUGAAGCAAGAACCAGUGGAAGGAAUUUUUUGCUUUCCUAUGCUCUCCAGGAAUUCCUGGACAAUCAGAGUGACCCAGGCCCCCCAGAACAUCUUGCAGAUGAGGGAGUAAGCCACCCUGAGUGGGUGAGUGUGUGUAUCUCCUCAGCUGGGCCGGCUUGGCCCUGCCUGACCUCUGAGGAGGCUCUCAGAAGCAGCUGGCUGGAUUCCUAGGUAUUUUUAGCUACAGAUUUAGCCCCACCAUCACCACGAGCUGAGUCCAGAUCCAACACUCUAGGCCUGGUAGUGCUGGGGCUCUGCCAGCCUCCUGCUGAGGUGGAGCUGGGUGGGUAGGCAGGCUGGAACCGGUGGCAGUGUGCUGCCUGAACCCACCGGAGCCAGAACUAUUCGCUUCUCGUCAUUUCCUCCAUGCAGCUUCCUGCAGACUUGCUCUGUCACCGAGGCUGGAGAGUGGAGAUGCAGGGCUGGGGAAUUUGUGGGAAGCCAGGAGCCCUCUCUUGGUUAUACGUAGUAGAACAAGUUCUUUUUCUUAGAAGUGAAUUUUCCCCACUGGCAAACGCAGCCAGUCAGUCUCCUGAGUCAAGAGCCAAGCCAAAAGACACCCCAGAGAAGAAACCUGGGGUCCUGCAAAGGUAAGCGGUUCCCAACUUACUCCAAAUCUUCCUCUCUUUGUACCAUUUUUAUUCCAAUGGCCUGCUCUUCUUCUGAGGAACCCCACCACCUCUGGCAUAUCAAUGGAAAUUGUCCUGGUUCUUUACUUUUUUUUCUGCCGCCCUCAUGAGCCACUAAGAGAUAGCCUAGCCCUUCCUCCCCUUGACAGGACUCGGUUGAGUCUUGUCUGUUGUGUUUCUUUGCAGCCCUCCUCCCCCCUUCAACCAGCACUUAGGCCCUCCCUGAUUUAGCCCGUUACCUUGACAACCACUUGGGCCUGUCUCCCUUAUCGCCACUGAAAACCUGAAGGUUUUCCAGCUGUGGUACAUUUGCCCGAGUUGGGCACCCCUCCAGCGUCUAUUGGCUCGCCCUCCGUGCUGUAGCCAAUAUAACAAACACAACCUUCCCGGUCCCUCAGCUGUGGUCUCGAAAUUGAUCUCACUGGUCCCGGGAACUCCCAUCACCUCCUCCAGACUGAGCUCCUCACAGGCGGGAACAUGGUUGUUUCUCAAUAAACAAGUUGAAAAAGGAA